rnacentral:rRNA from 1 species
AGAGUUUGAUCAUGGCUCAGGAUGAACGCUGGCGGCGUGCUUAACACAUGCAAGUCGAACGAAGCAUUUUGGAAGAAGUCUUCGGACGGAUUUUGGGAUGAUGAGUGGCGGACGGGUGAGUAACGCGUGGGCAACCUGCCCUGUACAGGGGGAUAACAGCCGGAAACGGCUGCUAAUACCGCAUAAGCGCACGAAACCGCAUGGUUUUGUGUGAAAAACUCCGGUGGUACAGGAUGGGCCCGCGUCUGAUUAGGCAGUUGGCGGGGUGACGGCCCACCAAACCGACGAUCAGUAGCCGACCUGAGAGGGUGACCGGCCACAUUGGGACUGAGACACGGCCCAAACUCCUACGGGAGGCAGCAGUGGGGAAUAUUGCACAAUGGGCGCAAGCCUGAUGCAGCGACGCCGCGUGAGCGAAGAAGUAUUUCGGUAUGUAAAGCUCUAUCAGCAGGGAAGAAAACGACGGUACCUGCACAAGAAGCUCCGGCUAAAUACGUGCCAGCAGCCGCGGUAAUACGUAUGGAGCAAGCGUUAUCCGGAAUUACUGGGUGUAAAGGGAGCGUAGACGGCAUGGCAAGUCUGGUGUGAAAGACCGGGCUCAACCCCGGGCCUGCAUUGGAAACUGCCAAGCUUGAGUGCCGGAGAGGUAAGCGGAAUUCCUAGUGUAGCGGUGAAAUGCGUAGAUAUUAGGAGGAACACCAGUGGCGAAGGCGGCUUACUGGACGGUAACUGACGUUGAGGCUCGAAGGCGUGGGGAGCAAACAGGAUUAGAUACCCUGGUAGUCCACGCAGUAAACGAU